rnacentral:rRNA from 1 species
CAGCAGCCGCGGGAAUACGGAGGGUGCAAGCGUUAAUCGGAAUUACUGGGCGUAAAGCGCACGCAGGCGGUCUGACAAGUCAGAUGUGAAAUCCCCGGGCUUAACCUGGGAACUGCAUUUGAAACUGUCAGGCUGGAGUCUUGUAGAGGGGGGUGGAAUUCCAGGUGUAGCGGUGAAAUGCGUAGAGAUCUGGAGGAAUACCGGUGGCGAAGGCGGCCCCCUGGACAAAGACUGACGCUCAGGUGCGAAAGCGUGGGGAGCAAACAGGAUUAGAUACCCUUGUAGUCCCUGUCUCUUAACA